rnacentral:rRNA from 1 species
UACGGAGGGUGCAAGCGUUAAUCGGAAUUACUGGGCGUAAAGCGUGCGCAGGCGGUUUUGUAAGACAGAGGUGAAAUCCCCGGGCUCAACCUGGGAACUGCCUUUGUGACUGCAAGGCUGGAGUGCGGCAGAGGGGGAUGGAAUUCCGCGUGUAGCAGUGAAAUGCGUAGAUAUGCGGAGGAACACCGAUGGCGAAGGCAAUCCCCUGGGCCUGCACUGACGCUCAUGCACGAAAGCGUGGGGAGCAAACAGG